rnacentral:lncRNA from 1 species
UUCAAAAGUGUGUGUGACAUGUAUAUAAUAUAGGCUAAUAUAGAAGAAACCUAACUCUGUACUUAUGAUACAAACACACUUGAAGCCUUGUACACAGGUGAGCGCUUUAGGGUCAAUGACCCUCUUAUUCGAUUUGUCACAUAGCUGCAUGAGCUAAGUUUAGAAAAAUCUUCAAACAGUAUGCUCUCCUUAGUCCCUGGUCUGAUUUUGAAUAAUUUUAUAGAAAUGUUCCCUGGGUGACCCUCUGCCAAGCAUGUUUGCCAGAGGAUGUGGUGACUUUUCCCUAUUUGUAUAUUGUAUGUUGAAACUUUUAAAAGACAAGAUGGUUUCAAGUUCUUCUGAUUCGUUAAAACAGAGUCAGAAGACUUUGUCACUUUUCCCUACAUCUGAAAUUCAAAAUUGAAACUUCAACUUGUUGGCCCAAUUUCAGAUUAAUUUUUAAAAUAAUUAACUAAGUAAUCUUCUACUAAAAUUGUUAAGCCAUCUUUGUUAGUAAAAAAGCAUGACCCUUUGGCCAGGGCUAAUUUCAAAAUCUUACCCAAAGAAUCUGCUGGCCAUCUGUUAAAGUAAGUUGGCAUGUUUCUUCAACGACUUCUGAAAUUGUUACCUGUUUGAACUCUCAUGAGUCGUAUAGGGCCAUGGUGGCUGUCUGUUUCAAUUUUUAUAUUUAUAACAUUUUUAAAUGUACUCAUAUUACAUAUUAUUACAUGACUGUUUAUAAAUUGUUGGUCCUUAGUUCAAUUGUUCCAUAUGAGCGACUGAUAUCCAACACAUGUUUACUGGGGUAGUUAGUCAGAAAUUAGAAAAUAAAACAAUAGAACAUUUGCUGAAUGGUUUGCCGGUCAAUAAUUGUAUAAUGUGUCAAAUCAAUUAGCAUUCAUCAUUUCCACUGAUAGCCUUAUGUUAACUACUUAUCAUUUUUCCUUAGAUAUAAGCUUAAAGGUGAAUUAAUAUGGUUAAGUAAGAAAAUUCUUAACUAUGAUAAAUUGCUAGGAUACAGACUCAACGCAAAGUUAAAUAAAAUCAUAAUGUCUUUAGCUCUACUCUCAUCCAAGGGCACAGGCUUCUCAUGCACAAGAGUUUAAAAAUAUAUGUGAACAAUAAGCAAUUUUAUUGGCAUUUAAUUGUUAUAAUUAAAUUAUGUUCAAUCAUGUGACUUCGGUCCUAAAAUUCUACUGGUGUUUUGUAUAUGGGUCUUAUUCGUUGGAAUGCCAUACACAUGAUUCUAGCUCUGAAAUUGAGAACAUAGAUUUAUGACACCUUGUUGCUAUUUUAGGCAACUUCAGUUUGAUUUUUGUUCAGAGUUUUAGGAUGUUCUAAUUACACUUAUUUUGAAACUUUUUUUUUUUUUUAUAUAUUUCAGUGUUUGGGAUCUGUAUUGGUGAAUUUUUAGUCAUAUAAACUGUUAAAUUUCAAUGUUUCCCUUUGAGUUAAGACUUUUUCAGAAAGAAUGCAAGUUGUUGAAAGUUAUUAACUUGCAUAUACUUGGCUUAAAAUUAUGGGAGAUUUGGUUUAUUUAAACAGGAAAAUGGUAAUGCCAGUAUCAAGUUUAGAUUACAAGACAUUUCCUUGAUUUUCUUUUGUUCUGAUGUAUCAUUUGAUUUCACAACAUUGUAAUUGUUAUGUAGUCAAUUCAUUGCAUUUAUAACACAUAAUUUAUGUAAAUAUAUGCAGUAUGCUCUGAAAUUGUUAAUAGAGAUUUUAAUUGUUAUAAUAAAGAAGAUAAGAUCUA